UACGGGGGGGGCAAGCGUUGUUCGGAAUUACUGGGCGUAAAGGGCUCGUAGGCGGCCAACUAAGUCAGACGUGAAAUCCCUCGGCUUAACCGGGGAACUGCGUCUGAUACUGGAUGGCUUGAGUUUGGGAGAGGGAUGCGGAAUUCCAGGUGUAGCGGUGAGAUGCGUAGAUAUCUGGAGGAACACCGGUGGCGAAGGCGGCAUCCUGGACCAACACUGACGCUGAGUGAGCGAAAGCCAGGGGAGCAAACGGG
rnacentral:rRNA from 1 species